ACAGAUAGCAAUCUUGUUGACUUUUGUAGGUAAGAAUUAGUAAAUAUUCAUGAUCAUCAGAAAUUAAGUGGCUAAACCCUGUAUAUCAACAAUUCAUUGAAAGUAAAGUUAUCUUAAACUAGCAUGUUUGAUAAUAUUAAUUCGCUGAGCAAAUUGUAUUUUUUAAAUGGAUGGUUUAGUUACACAUUCAUUUUUUUUUAUGCGUUUGGAUUUUUUUUUCGAUUAUCAAAAGCCGGUGUAUGUACGACAAGUACAACGGAAAACCCGUAUGAAAACAGAACAGUGUGUUACAAAUAUGUCGGCUGUUUCAACAACCUCCCUCCGUUUGACAACGCUGCUUAUGACUUGCCACGCUCGCCCGAGGAGAUAGGGACAGAGUUUUUGCUGUUUACACAGAGGAAUCCAACAAAUCCAGACCGUCUGGAUUAUGUAUCCCAAUCCUCUGUCGUCAGUUCUCAGUUCCAGAGCAGUGUCCAGACAAAGAUCAUAAUCCAUGGAUUUGCUAACACAGUCAAAACCACAUGGUUAUACAACAUGAAAGAUGCAUUUUUAACAAAGGGAGACUACAACGUGAUCGUCGUGGCGUGGGGGGCGGGAGCCGCGGCCCCCGACUACAACCAGGCCGUCUCCAACACCAGAAUGGUGGCCACCCAGACCCGGCUCAUUAUCGAGGGGCUGGUCCAGGCCGGGGGGAGGCUCGCUGACAUCCACCUCAUAGGCCACAGCCUGGGGGCCCACACUGCGGGAUCCACGGGCAGACAGAUGGGCGGCAAAGUUGGACGAAUCACGGGACUGGACCCAGCUGAGCCAGCGUUUGAAAACCACCCAGAAGGAGUAAGAAUCGAUCCCUCGGAUGCUGUUUUUGUGGACAUUAUCCAUACUAACGGAGCACCCAUACGGCGGGGCGGGGCAGGCUUAAUGCAGGCGUCAGGUCACGUGGAUUUCUACGUCAAUGGAGGAGAGAGACAGCCGGGAUGUCCUAACCUUGUCACCGGGACCUUUGAGCAGCUGUUCAGUAAAAACGUAUCAGGUAAAAUAGAGGUACCGGUAAUAGUAAAGAAGUUUCGAUGGUGGUAGACAUUUUUAGGCUGUAUUGAUCUCCGUCAGAGGAAGAGUUAUCAGACUGUAUAAAAUAUAGUAAAAUACCUUAAUUCUAAAGGUAAGAUAUAUGGAUUUUUUUUCUUCCUGAAAUAAUAGUUUCUUGCGAAAAUAAAUCAUAUUUUACAAUUUAAAAUAGAUUUAAUGAUUAGUUUGUUGACUAUCCAGCCUCCGUAAUAAAGAAUGUGAUAAAAUAGAUCGCGGUAACAAUUCUCAAAGGUUUUCAAAAGUGUUUAGACUAGUAAAUGCGAAGAGAAAUAUUCGCGACAACGAUAUUCUCCCAAGUCUCACUAAAAAUGUCUUUUAUGCGAAUAAAGUAGUUUCACUGUAUAAUAUUGUCUGAUUUGUUAUGUAAUUCCAACCUACUUUGAAGAAUUGGUUAAAAAAAAUCAGCCGUGGUGGAAAUGUUUUUCUUAUUAAUUUCUUUUUAUUAAUCGUUGAGGUUUAAAAAAGAGGCGUUCCAAGCACGAUAGUUUUGUUUGCAAUAUUUGAUCUCUCUGAAUGCAGAACGGAGGUUUUGCCAGUUCUUUGUGACAAAAGGAUGCAAGCAGCCGAACUAUUUUAAUAGUUAGUUAAUAUGUGUUCUGUUAUGCAGGUGCAGUUUUGGCCGCGUCUUGUAGCCAUGGUCGGUCUCACGAAUACUUCACCGAAUCCAUAAUGACCGACUGUCCCUUCACUGCAUACCCAUGUGACAAUUAUGUCAAGUUUAGCUCCGGGGGGUGCAGUACAUGUGGAAUGGCAGGCUGCUCUCAGCUUGGCUUGAACGCGGACGUAAACUCAGGACGCGGGAAAAUGUUCCUGGACACCCUCAGCAUGGCACCCUUCUGUGGUUACCAUUAUCUUGUAACCGUUGUGAUUGGAACACAUGAUGCCAUUGGUCAGUUACUUCUAACAGUACAUGGUAAUGUUGGACAAACACAUCUGAUUCCUGUCACUGGUUCUGGGGAAUCCUUAAGAGCAGGGAUGCCUCAUUCCAAGGUUGUUGUUUUGGAAAGGAGAUUUACGGAUAUUAACUCUGUUGAUGUUCUGUAUAAGAAAAAGAGAGGAUUUUUGUUUGGAUGGGGAGGAGCACCAAAUGAUAUAUCACUGACGUCCGUUACAAUUGAGAAAAUCCGGGCAAACAAUAAAUUCACGUUUUGCAUGGGAAGUUUACGCUUCUCGGAUGGAGUAUCCGUUACCACCACUCAAAGAUCCGCCACCGGAACUUGUUGAAUCAUGCAAUGAAAAAAAAUCGCUUCACAUUUUUAUUUUGGAGACACAAGUUAUGAAAUGAGAAUACCAAGAGAGACGUUUUCAAAUAAAAAUUAUUACAAAUU
rnacentral:misc_RNA from 1 species